AAGCGAAACCGCUUCGGGAAACCGGGGCGGUCUGCUCGGCGCGGUGGCCGAGUACUGAUGAGCAGCCGAGG
rnacentral:hammerhead_ribozyme from 1 species